rnacentral:tRNA from 2 species
GGGGCGGUAGUUCAACCGGGAGAACACUUGGUUUGCACCCAGGAGAUCGGGGUUCAAGUCCCUGUCGCUCCACCA